CAAGUCGAACGCGAAAGCUCCCUUCGGGGGGCAAGUAGAGUGGCGCACGGGUGAGUAACACGUAGGUAAUCUACCUUCGGAUGGGGAAUAACAACCGGAAACGGUUGCUAAUACCGCAUAAUGCAGCGGCACCUAAUGGUGACAGUUGUUAAAGCGGGGGCUCGUAAGACCUCGCGUCUGAAGAGGAGCCUGCGGCAGAUUAGCUAGUUGGUAAGGUAACGGCUUACCAAGGCGAUGAUCUGUAGCCGGCCUGAGAGGGCGGUCGGCCACACUGACACUGACAUACGGGUCAGACUCCUACGGGAGGCAGCAGUCGGGAAUUUUGGGCAAUGGGCGAAAGCCUGACCCAGCAACGCCGCGUGAAGGAUGAAAUCCUUCGGGAUGUAAACUUCGCAAGAACGGGAAGAAUAAGUGAGAGUUAAUAUCUCUCGCGAUGACGGUACCGUUUGUAAGCUCCGGCUAACUCCGUGCCAGCAGCCGCGGUAAUACGGGGGGAGCAAGCGUUGUUCGGAUUUACUGGGCGUAAAGGGCGCGUAGGCGGCCACCGCAAGUCGACUGUGAAAUCUCCGGGCUUAACCCGGAAAGGUCAGCCGAUACUGCGGGGCUAGAGUGCAGAAGGGGCAACUGGAAUUCUCGGUGUAGCGGUGAAAUGCGUAGAUAUCGAGAGGAACACCUGCGGCGAAGGCGGGUUGCUGGGCUGACACUGACGCUGAGGCGCGAAAGCUAGGGGAGCGAACGGGAUUAGAUACCCCGGUAGUCCUAGCCUUAAACGAUGAAUGCUUGGUGUCUGGGGUUUUAUAGUCCCCGGGUGCCGUCGCUAACGCUUUAAGCAUUCCGCCUGGGGAGUACGGUCGCAAGACUGAAACUCAAAGGAAUUGACGGGGACCCGCACAAGCGGU
rnacentral:rRNA from 1 species